rnacentral:rRNA from 1 species
UACAGAGGUCUCAAGCGUUGUUCGGAUUCAUUGGGCGUAAAGGGUGCGUAGGUGGCGGGGUAAGUCAGGUGUGAAAUCUCGAGGCUCAACCUCGAAACUGCACUUGAUACUGCCUUGCUCGAGUACUGGAGAGGAGAUUGGAAUUUACGGUGUAGCAGUGAAAUGCGUAGAUAUCAAGAGGAACACCUGAGGUGAAGACGGGUUGCUGGGCUGACACUGACGCUGAGGCGCGAAAGCUAGGGGAGCAAACGGG